CAUAUUUAUUCUCUUCCAUGGAAAUGACUCCGUCAUCCACUGGUCGGAUGCAGCUCUGGGACGCUACCGGCCAAUCAGGAACAGCAGCCAUGCCCAUUUCUUGCAGGUCACAGAUGUCACGGUGGAGGACAGUGCCCGAUACUGGUGUCUGCUUACAAGGAAUGGCUCCUAUCCAGUCUGGGGGGACGGAACGCAGCUCAGUGUGUAUGGUGGUAAAGGUGUCCAGGGCACCGACCGUGUCUCUCUUGAGCAGUCAAGACUCUGCGGAUUCCUCUGGUGUUCUCCAUGCGGUGUGUUUGGCCACUGGAUUUUACCCUUCGGUGAUAGAGAUCACGUGGAAGUUUGAAGGUGAACCUUUCCAAGGGAACAUUAUUUCAGGAUCCUUUCUAGAAGAAGGAGACAACGUCUAUGCUAUAAUAAGUAUCCUAGAGCUCACAUCACAAAGUAGAAGAAAUCUCUCAGCUUUUUCUUGUGAAGUGCGUCAUGAUUCCUCAAGGACUUUCAUCCACAAGGAUCUACACCACUGUUACAGAGACACAUCUAGUACUGAUUGAAGCUUCACCUAAGCUUCACAUUAGACCUUUAUUUCCAACCUUUGAUUAUUAUGUGAGGUGACUAACACCAGUCUAAAGACAUGGGUUUAAUAACUUGUAAGAGUGGACUGACUAAGUACAUGGACUUUAAAGAGAAAACAUACAUUUAGGGUAUGGCUAUGGGCUCUACCAACACCCCUGGGUUCACAUCGGUGCUUUUCAUUCCAGCAGUGGGUUCCGACAGAGCAACAUACUGCCAGAAUUCACUAUAUCCGACGUACUUGCAGCUUUUAGCCAGACAAAAAUACUACACACAUCAUUUAUACUGGAAAGCAGACAGAACCCCGCUGGACCCCAUAGUGCAUGGUAGUAUCCGGCUGUCUGUCUGCCAGAGUUUAAAAGUACAUAUGUGAACCCAGCCUAAGUAAAGUACCAUUACAGAUGGGUUUUUUCUUAUCUCAAUGAUGUGAGUCAAUUGAUU